CUGUGGAGUCCUCAAUUCUUCACUCUCCUGUCACUUCCCACAUUUACUUGGUCAUCGGAUCCUUUGAGUUCUACGUCAGAAAUGUCUCCUGAGUCCAGCUACUUCUGUCUGUUUCCACCCCCAUUGCUUUAGUUCAGGCUGCCAAAAUUUCUUACCUGAACCAGGAAGACAGUGUCAACUUGUUCCUUUACCAUAACACUCUCCGGACUCCAUCUGCCAUAUUGCUGCCAGAGACACGAUUCUGAAAACAGAAGCUGACUCUGUUAUAUGCCCAAAGGUGUAUUUGCCCACCCUACCGAGUCCAAACUUCUCAGCAUGGCAGACAGCGCCCUUCACAAUCUGAUCCCAAACUCUCUCCAGACUUACCUGGUGCUCACCUCUGGCCACCCCUGUUCCAACCAUUCUAUAUUUUCUUAGUUUCCUAGACAUACCGUGUCCUCUCUCAUAGUAUUUUUCUUAUGUUUAUCUUGACCUUUGCAUAGCAAAUUCCCCCUUAUUCCUGCUCAAAAGUUAUCCUAUAGAAUCUUUCCUAGCCAGCCUCUGUCAGCUGUGGUAGAUGAAGCCUUCCCUUUACUACCAGAGUACUCUGUUCUUACCUCUCUCAUAUUUUUUUCUCUUUCAUAGUAUUUUCAUAUCGCAUAAUUCUCUUUUAAAUGAGUUCUAAGAGGGCGGAGAUUUGCUCUAGGACUUGACAUAUAUAAAAUAAUGUUUGCCGUGAGAGAGAUUGGUUGAUUUGCCUUUACUGACUGAAUCACUACAGAGGGCUUUACAGGUCAGAUGAAGAAUUUAGAAUCA
rnacentral:lncRNA from 1 species